GGAUUAGAUACCCUGGUAGUCCACGCCGUAAACGAUGUCUACUAGCCGUUGGGGUCCUUGAGGCCUUAGUGGCGCAGCUAACGCACUAAGUAGACCGCCUGGGGAGUACGGUCGCAAGAUUAAAACUCAAAGGAAUUGACGGGGACCCGCACAAGCGGUGGAGCAUGUGGUUUAAUUCGAUGCAACGCGAAGAACCUUACCAGCCCUUGACAUCCCGAUCGCGGUUUCCAGAGAUGGAUUCCUUCAGCUCGGCUGGAUCGGUGACAGGUGCUGCAUGGCUGUCGUCAGCUCGUGUCG
rnacentral:rRNA from 1 species